AUUGGAAAUACACCAAGUAAGGCAUUUUUACCGUUAUUUUUCGAUUUGGUGUAAGAUAAAAACAAUAACAAGAGGCCGCGAUACUACAACCUCGUACCCAGGGCUUCUGCGCUUAUUGCUCUCAGAAACCCUGGGAUAAUCCAACUCAGAACGUGAUUUGAUUGGUCAAUGCGAAUACAAUGAAAGUACCGGAAGUUAUUCAUUAACCGGGUGAUAUUUUGGCAACAUGUCUGCUAUAUCUAUACAAAACAUGCUAUAUUGUAUACAAAAGUUAAAGGUGAUCUACAGUCCGUAUGUAAACAAAGACUUUGUUUACAUUUUUGUGUCCAAAAUAUUGAGCUUUAUUCGACAACUAUUUAUAUUUUCAAGCUUCUAGAGUAUAAUAAAUGAUCAAGAAACAACAAUCAGGCUUUUCAAGAACUCAAAACAUAGUUAAACUGUUUGUAUCAUAAAAAGUG